CGUAUUCGAACCUGCGGAAGGAUCAUUGAUGAG
rnacentral:rRNA from 1 species